UGUGUCGUUUUAGGCACUUUAUGUGUCGUAUACUGAUCAGGUUAAUAGGAGUCUAGUACCCCGGUCCAGCAUCUGAACGAUCCCGACUCCAACAAAUUUUGGGUGAUGUUUUCUUUCUUAAUUGAAAGUGGCAUGUACUAGGUGUUGUAUAAAUUAUACAGAUAUACUUGUAAAGUUGGUUAUAAGAAUGGUAUACCAUAUUUUGUUAUUCGUUUGAUAAAAUAGUAAAUAUUAUAUUAUAUAAUUUGGUAUAAGUUGGAAUGAAAAAAUGAAUGAAGUUAUUAGUUAA